AUUUUACGAAAAAGCUCUAGAAAUUCGAAAACAAUCGUUAGGUCCAAAUCAUAUUGAUGUCGCUGCAUCUUUAAACCAUCUCGGUUUGCUUUA